rnacentral:lncRNA from 1 species
CAUGAGCUUGUCAUUAUCUAAUAAUGACCGGAGCGACAGGGUAGUGGCCAUAGCUACAUAAAGAAAAACCAGACCUUAAUUAGUACACAAAUUAUUAAUACUAAAGACUUGGACUUUAGUCUAAAGUUUCUCCCAGUAUUUUUACGAACUGGUAGCCUCAACCUCCAAUUCGAGAAAUUACUUUAAUUCCUUAGUGGGUACUAGAAUCCACA